rnacentral:rRNA from 14 species
GCCUACAUCAACACCACACUGAAAGCGCCUGAUCUCGUCUGAUCUCAGAAGCCAAGCAGGGUCGGGCUCGGUUAGUACGAGUAGAAAACAGAGUAAAUAGUUUGCUGUAUCCA